rnacentral:rRNA from 1 species
AUUGAACGCUGGCGGCAGGCCUAACACAUGCAAGUCGAGCGGAUGAAGGGAGCUUGCUCCUGGAUUCAGCGGCGGACGGGUGAGUAAUGCCUAGGAAUCUGCCUGGUAGUGGGGGAUAACGUCCGGAAACGGGCGCGAAUACCGCAUACGUCCUGAGGGAGAAAGUGGGGGAUCUUCGGACCUCACGCUAUCAGAUGAGCCUAGGUCGUAUUAGCUAGUUGGUGGGGUAAAGGCCUACCAAGGCGACGAUCCGUAACUGGUCUGAGAGGAUGAUCAGUCACACUGGAACUGAGACACGGUCCAGACUCCUACGGGAGGCAGCAGUGGGGAAUAUUGGACAAUGGGCGAAAGCCUGAUCCAGCCAUGCCGCGUGUGUGAAGAAGGUCUUCGGAUUGUAAAGCACUUUAAGUUGGGAGGAAGGGCAGUAAGUUAAUACCUUGAUGUCUUGACGUUACCAACAGAAUAAGCACCGGCUAACUUCGUG